AUUUUAUUUCUUUUCUUUCUCUUAUUUUCUCCGCUCUCUUUCUCUUCUAAGUGAAAAUUCUGCAACUGAAAUGAAAAACAGCCUACGUUUUAAGCGAUUUGCAGACGAUCAAUGGUGAGAUCAUGGAUUGAGUUGGUUUCUUUUCACUUCCUCGAUUAGGUAUGCAAGAUCUCUCAUCUCUUUCUCUUCUAAACAACGAAAAUUCAUAAAACCCAUCCCUACAACUGAAUCUCUUCUAAACAACGAAAAUUCAUAAUACCCAUCCCUGCAACUGAAUCAAUCACGGAGAUGAAGUAUUGAGUUGGUUAUUUUUCACUUCCUCGAUUAGGUAUCCAGAUGAGGAAGCUGGUGAAGUGCCCGUAUGCAUAAGCUUCAUGGUAUUUUACAGACCACUAAUAUUGAGAAGAUUAUUUUGAAGUAAAGCUUCCGGAGAUAGAACAUUUGCGAAAUCUAUCUGAAGCAAAAUCUGUGAAGCAUAUCAUGAUUUCGUUGAUGUGAGCAAGUCUGUGUGCUCCAUGUCAAACUUAGGUUUGCUGUUCAUCUGUUAACGAAAUCAUGAUAUGAUAUAUUUGUAUUUGCAAUGGAAGACCAACAAGAUGCCAAUAGAGAAACGGGUCGUGUUCCUAUUAGACAUCAGCGGCAAAUGACAGAGGAGCAGAGAUUGCAACGAAAUGAGCGUAGGCGAAAUCAAUAUAGAGCUAGGCAGCAAAACGUUGAAUCCGAAGCAACAGAUGUGGAUACAUCCCAAAGUGAAAUUGCAACUCGAAGCAGCAUGAUGACCGAAGAAAAACGAGUUGCUGAAAGAGAAAGGUGUCGUGUUCGCAAUAUAAAUCGUUGAGAAAGCAUCACAGAUGAAGAGAGAUUGCUGCAAAAUGAGCGUAGGCGAAACCAGUAUAGAGCGAGGCAGCAGAAUGUUGGUUGCAGAAGCACAACAGAAUCAUCUAUAGGUCCGCACAUAUCGGAAGAACAGCUGGCCAGUGAUCGAGAAAGGAGACGUGUCCGGCAAAGAACCCAUCAGCAAAAUAUGACGGAGGAGCAGAGGUCAUCCAACUUAUUUGAACAUGUAAUGCAUGAACAUGUGCAGGAAGAAGUUGUGAGACUAUUGGGUUGUGUCUCGAGAGUAGCAAUGAAUACCAGCGAAGGGUAUAUGGAAUUGGGCCCUCAACACAGAGCUCUCAUACAUACAACAUUUGAUGAUAUGCUCGAGUUUGAUGAGCAAAUCAACAACCCAGAAGACGACUGUAAUGAGAGUCACCAAGAGGAUGUGCAUGAAGGUCAGAAACAGCAACAAAAGAAGAAGAACACUAUUGCAUGGAGGUCAAUCACGAGUAGCUCAAUCUACUACAACGAACAACAAAAGAAGGAGGACAAAUAGAGGAUUUUAUAACGUUGCAAGGGACUUCGUCGACGAACCUUCACUUCCAUGCCUGCAAUUGACUAGCAUUAGCUCAUGUAACCGCUGUGGAGCUAAGCUUUUUCCUCAUGAGACUAAUCAGUUCUGUUGUUUAAACGGAAAAGUUGAACUACCCGAUUUGCACGUACCUCCAGAACUCAUGCAAUUGUAUACUGUACAAUCAUAACUUGGAGCUCAUUUCAGGCAGAAUAUUCAUUUGUUCAACCAUGUUUUUGCCUUCACAUCCAUUGGAGUACGUAUCGAUCAUAACACGGCUAAUUCUAAGAAGGGAGUGUAUACAUAUCGAGCUCAAGGUACUAUGUAUCACAAAAUUGGUAGCCUUAUUCCAGAACCAAGUGAUAGACCAAGGUUCCUUCAGAUGUACAUCUAUGACACCGAACAUGAAUUGGAGAAUCGUCUGAAGGAACAACAGUUUGCUGCCAAGACAAACAAGGGCAAGGAACAGGAACAAGAGCCAGCUGAAACCGUAGAACCUCUGAAAAGAGAAGUGCUUGCCGAUAUUGAAGGGAAUGUUGGGCAAAUGCAACCCGUAUGUACGUGCUAUUCGACAGAUUUCGCAAGGAACUGACUUCCAAGAUGUUCGUCUUCACAUAAAGGAGCAACCAACAUUUCUUCAGACGUAUAACAUGCCAAUAUCACCACAAGUAGCAGCUGUCUUAGUUGGAGGAGAAGAAGUGAGUGAAGUGCUUCCUCGAGACAUAGUUGUUGAAACAAAAUCUGGGAAAUUGCUGAAUGUUCCCGACACAGCAUGUUUCUACGAUCCAUUACAAUAUCUGUUACUGCAUCCUUAUGGAAGUUUUGGAUGUGAUUUGACGAUUUUGUGAUAAUGCUAAAAAGAUAAGCUGUCGAGCAUACUAUGCGUAUAUGCUACAGAUUCGAGAAAACCAGCGGUCGAUUCUGUUACAUGGUGGGAAACUACUACAGCAGUACGUGGUCGACAAUUAUGUGAAAAUUUCCACAAUGCAGUUGAGAUGGGUUCGAGAUAACCAGAGAACAUUCCGAGCUGAUUGGUACUCAGGCGUUCUUGAUGCCUUAGAUGCAAAUACAGAUGAUAUUGGGCAACGAGUUAUUCUACCUCCUUCUUACACGGGAAGCCCACGUGAUAUGCUUCAAAGGUAUCACGACGCUAUGCCAUUGGUUCAGAAGUACGGCAAGCCGGAUUUGUUUACAACCAUGACGUGUAAUCCUAAUUGGGAGGAGAUCCGGAGAAAUUUAAAACCAGGGCAACAGGCACAUGACAUGCGAGAUCUGACGACGAGGGUGUUUCAUUGCAAAUUUGAAGAACUGAAGGUAGAUCUGUUCACUAAGGGGGUUCUUGGAAAAGUUGUUGCACAUGUUCAUGUUAUUGAAUUUCAGAAGAGAGGUCUUCCACACGCACACAUUCUUAUCAUCCUGCACGAGAAAGACAAACUACGUACCCCAGAUGACUACGAUAAGGUUGUUCGAGCAGAAAUACCAGAUGAAAGUUGAACCAUAGUUGUAUGCUUCCGUCCUCAAACAUAUGAUACAUAUGCCAUGUGCUUUGUCUGUUGAUAGUGUCUGUAAGAAGGAUGUAAAGUUCAAGAAGCGUUUUCCAAAGCAGUUUGCAGCGGAAACUCUAGAAGGCCAAGAUUUGUAUCCAGUGUAUAGAAGACGCGACGAUGGUAGAGCAAUUACACUCUCCAAUGGAAAAGUUGUGAAUAACAGCUGGGUUGUUCCGUAUAAUCCGUGGCUUUUGAAGAAAUAUGACUGCCAUAUCAAUGUUGAGAUUUGUUCAAGUGUACAGUCCGUGAAAUAUCUGUACAAGUAUGUUUGGAAAGGGGUUGAUCGCGUCCCCAUGGAAGUUUCAAACGAGAAAGAAGCGGAACAUGGGAUCAAGCAGUUUGUAGAUGCUCGAUGGAUUUUCCCGCAAGAAGCUCUCUGACGUAUGUACAGGUAUCAAAUGAAUAAGAUUUAUCCUCCCGUCCUUUCAUUACAGGUACACUUAAAGGAUCGACAUAGGAUCCUACUUCCUGAAGGUAAUACUGUCCGAGAUGUGAUACGACGAGAAAAAGCAUCACAUACCCAAUUGAUUGAGUGUUUUAAGACAAACCAAGAAGAUCAGUUUGCGAGAACUCUUCUCUACAAGGAAUUUCCCGAACACUACAAGUGGGAUAAGCCACUAAAGCAAUGGAUAAGACGGCAACGCAACAACAAAGUCAUUGGCAGAGUUAACAUUUUUUCUACCCGCAGUUAAAAUUAUCAUUUGAUACUUCUCAUGAAUAAUGUUAGAGGGCCAACUUCUUCCGAGGACUUGCUAAAGGUAGGAAACAAUACGUUUUCGACGCAUAAAGAAGUAGCGCAACAUUUGUGUCUGUUAGAAAGUGACACUCCCAUCAGUGACACACUUCUUGAAGUCGUACAAGUAGAGAUGCCUUGGUCUUUAAGGAGGUUUUUCUGCAUGUUGUUAGAUGUUUGCAACCCCACUGGAGUUCGUGAAUUGUGGGAUGAAUUUUUCCCGUACAUGAUUGAAAACCUCUGCCGGUUCAACACGAAAACAAGGGCAAUCAAUCUGCUUUUACGGGAAGUAAGGUCUAUUCUCGGCGAAAAAUUAAUGGCCACAUAUAAACUCCCACCUAUCACUGAAGACGUAUGAACUUCAGGAGUAAACAAGUUGGUUUGCGCGGAAUUCAGAGUUCCAGUCUCUCCAGAAGAUCUAUCAUCUAUUGAUAUGCUAAAUGCCGACCAGAAACACAGAUUCGGUAGGGGAAGCAUGGGAUGUGCAGUGUAUGGUGCGAAGACACUUUAAAACUGAGACUAAACAAAGUGAAACAAGCCAACUGAUGAAUUCCGUUAUGAGAGGCGAGAAAUCUAUAUUCUUCAUUGAUGGUCGGGGUGGCUCAGGAAAAACGUUUCUCUAUAGGGCGAUAUUUUCCAAGUUAUGAAGUGAAAGACGUAUUGCAACUGCAACAUCAGAGGAUCAAUGGUGAGAUCAUGGAUUGAGUUGGUUUCUUUUCACUUUCUCGAUUAGCUAUGUAAGAUUUCUCAUCUCUUUCUCUUCUAAACAACGAAAAUUCAUAAUGCCCAUCCCUGCAACUGAAUCAAUCACGGAGAUGAAGUAUUGAGUUGGUUAUUUUUCACUUCCUCGAUUAGGUAUGCAACAGUUCUCAAAUUGUUUGAUUUUUGUAAUCUGAAAUUCUAGGGUUUUUGUCAAUAUUGGGGAUUUCAUCUCACAUGUGUUUAUCAAUGAUUUUGAAGGGUUUGUGUCCAAUCUUACUAUCUAUUUGCAUACCUCUAUAUAUGUAUCGGAAAAUAGGUUUUUUAGUUGGAUUCAAUUGAAUAAGCUUUUUAGGUAAAAGAAUUUUUGUGUUCAAUUGUGUUCAAUUGAAUUCAGGUGAUAUCUAUUUACAUACCUCUAAAUUUUUUGAGGUAAAAGACUGUGAAUACCAAUAUUUUGUGGAGCACGUGUCACGAUCUUAGUGGCCGCACAUAUAUUCAACUGUGUAGCCUUCGCUGAACCGAGAAGCCUAAGUAGUAAAGGAUACCUCCGCAGAUCUACUUUAUCUCAUCCCAAGAAAGAAGGCCUAAACAGUCAAGAUAAGAAUGGUAAAAGCCUAUUCUAAAAAGAGGCAGCCGGCGAGGGGACAGAGGUAGAUGAUGCAUCUAAUCAGCAUUAAAUGCUCAAAUCUCUUAUCUACACACAUGAAUCAAGGCACGUGGAGAGAGAAGGCGUGGAAGAACCCGAUUGACGGA